AUUGAACGCUGGCGGCAGGCCUAACACAUGCAAGUCGAACGAGUGGCGGACGGGUGAGUAAUGUAUGGGAAAGUGCCCGAUGGCGGGGGAUAACUACUGGAAAGGGUGGCUAAUACCGCAUACCAUCGGAUGUGCCGAGAUGGGAUUAGCUAGUAGGUGGGGUAAAGGCUCACCUAGGCGACGAUCCCUAGCUGGUCUGAGAGGACGACCAGCCACACUGGAACUGAGACACGGCCCAGACUCCUACGGGAGGCAGCAGUGGGGAAUUUUGGACAAUGGGCGAAAGCCUGAUGCAGCCAUGCCGCGUGUAUGAAGAAGGCCUUCGGGUUGUAAAGUACUUUCAGCGGGGAGGCGGUACCCGCAGAAUAAGCACCGGCUAACUCCGUGCCAGCAGCCGCGGUAAUAC
rnacentral:rRNA from 1 species